UUGAUUUUUCCUGUGAAAAAUUGUUUUAAGCCUUUUAUCUCUACUAAGGUGAAUUUUAGUACAUUGCAUUUUUCAAGGAUGCUAUCCAAUUAUUUAAUUUUUCAAAUAUAUUUGUAUAGAGUCAAACAAAAUAGUCUGUAAGAAUCUUUUAAAAUUUACUUUGUUUCAAGGUUAUUUCCCCCAUAACAUUUUUAAAUUCAUAUAUCUGUGCUUUCUCCUUUUUUUUCUGAGUUAGAUUAGGUGGUAGUUUAUCUAGUUUAUUAAUUUUUCCUCAAGAACAAGCAUUUUGAUUGAUUUAUCAAUUUUGUUAUAUUUUUGCUUGCUGUUUUAUUAAUUUCUACUUCUAUAUUUUAAAAAAUUUUUCUUCUGCUUCCCCCAUCCCCUACCUACUUUUCUGAGUUGGGAAUUUAAUUCAUUUAUUUUUAUUUAUCUAAGUAUCAUAAGUAUGUAGAGCUAUGUAUUUUCCUAUAGUCACUGUUUUAAUUGUAUCUCAUAAAUGUCUUAGGAAGAGUUCAUGAAUAUUUUCUGAGUUUCCAUCUGUAUCAAACUGUUUCCCUAUAGGCUUGGUACUUUAAAAACAGUCUGCCUACAUAUAACACUCUGGGCUCAUAUUUUCCUUUUUUGAGUUUCUUAAAACUGUUCUUGCACAGUUUUCUUGCUUUGUAUGCUGUUUUAUGAUCUUAUUUCCUUUGUAAGUGAUUUGGCCUUUUUUGCUUGGAUGCCCAGAAGAUUGCUUGUAUAUAUUUAAUGUCUAAUAGGCCUAUUAUACUGUGUCUUAGAUGUAUGUCUAUAUAUUACAAUUGACCAUUCUGGGUUAGUCUUCUUAGGUACACAAAUAUAUCCAAGUUUUCUUUUAUUUAUACAAAGUUUUAUUGGAUUGUGGUUUAAUAUGUGAUUAAAUAUGUGAUUUCUCUCAUUUCAUUGUUUUUGUUUUUCUUGCCAGAAACCCAAAUGAUAAUGCCCAGUCUUCUUUCUCUCUGAUGGUUUUCACCUUAUUUAUUUUGUUUUCAUUUUCUUGGAAUUUUUCAUAUAUUUUUAAACUUCUGCUUUGAGAGAAAUCAAUUUUCUCUUGAGUACUUUGAAAUUAUUCUUCCUACAUAAGAUGUUUUUGCCUUUUUCUUUAAUUUCCCUCCUGGGGACUAUCUUUUUUUCGUAUAUUACUUUAUUUAAUUCUGCUUUUCUGAUUUAACAUUUUUUCUUUUUGCAAAAUAUUUGUUUAAAAUAUUUAAUUCAAGAUGGGGUGUUAUGUUACAGAUUGUUUUCAGAGCCUCCAGUUAAAUUGGGGUUCCAGCACCUGUGUGGAUAGCUAAGGGGAAAUGAAGGGGAGCUGGAUAUGGUUGUUUACAAGGUGUCUUUCACGGGACACAUCUUUUACCUGGCAGACAGCCUAGUGUCUAGUUGUCUAACCUGUGACCAGGAAGAUUUCUCACACAGGAAACUUGUUUAUACUGGCAGAUGCCCUUUUGGCUCUUGUCUGACCUGUGUUCAGUUUAUGCCUGCCUGACCAUUGCUCUGGUUCUGGGAGCUCAACUUUGUGCUUCCCCGUCCCAUGUCAGGGAAAGAUAGGCCUGGCGUAGCCCCUGAUUCUUCAGAUGGAAGGUGGGAAUUCAAUACUCCAGCACAAAAGGAAACAAUUAAAAGAUUGUACUUACAAAUCUUGGGCAAGGAAGGUGGGAUGGCAGUCCUCUGUCCUAGGGUCAUGUGAGGCAGAAAUGAAGGAGUCAGGCAGAGAGACAGGGCAUGUGGCAAAUAGUUGUAUGUAUAAGGGAAUACAGUGUGGGUUAUUUUAAGUUCUUAGGCAAAUAUCUGACAGAUUCACUUAAAAGGAAACAGCGGAAGAGUGGGUAGUCCUAUUGAGAGACAGGACUAGCUGGAUUUCCUAAGUCGACUAAGAAUUCCUAAGCCCAGCUGGGGAAGGUUACCACACCCACCUUUAAACGCGGGGCUUGUAACUCAGCUCACACCGGACCCAUCAGGUAGUAAAUAGUGCUCACUAAAAUACCAAUUAGGGUAAAAGCAGGAGGUAAAGAAAUAGUCAAAUCAUCUACUGCCUGAGAGCACCGGGGAGAGACAAUGAUCGGAAAAUAAAUCCAGGCCUUUGUGCCAGCAGGGGCAACCCCCUCUGGGUCCCCUCCCAUUGUAUGUGAGCUCUGUUUUCAUUCUAUUAAAUCUUGCAACUGCACAUUCUUCUGGUCCGUGUUUCUGCCGGCUCAAACUGAGCUUUCGCUCUCCAUCCACCAUGGCUGAACGCCACAGUCGCAGACCUGCCGUUGACUUUCAUCCCUCUGGAUUUGGCAGGGUGUCCACUGAGCUUCUGAUUCAGCGAGGUGCUCAUUGCUGCUCCCAAUCAGGCUAGAGGCUCGCCAUUGUUCCUGCACCGGGAAGUGCCCGGGUUCAUCCUAAUUAGGCUGAACACUAGUCUCUGGGUUCCAUGGUUCUCUUCCGUGACCCACAGCUUCUAAUAGAGCUAUAACACUUACCGCAUGGCCCAAGGUUCCAUUCCUUGGAAUCCCUGAGGCCAAGAACCCCACGUCAGAGAACAAAAGGCUUGCUGCCAUCUUGGGAGCAGCCGGCCCCAUCUUGGGAGUGGCCCACCACCAUCUUGGGAGCUCUAAGAACAAAGACCUGCUGGUAACACUAUCUCUGGCCACCUAUCUCUGGCCUAUCUAUCUCUGGUUCCUAUCUCUGGCCAUGGCUUGAGCCAUUUGGGUGCAGUGAACAGGAAACUGUAAAGAGUGACAGCCCUGCUUCUACAAAAUGGAUGCCAAGUUGUUCCUGCGCGCUCACUCUCUCUCCUGCCACCUUGUGAUGAAGAUGCCUGCUUCCUCUUCUGUCAUGAUUGUAAGUUUCCUGAGGCCUCCCCAGCCAUGUGCAAAUGUUACACCUCCUCCCUCCUUAAAUAGCACUUAGUGUAAUUGAUGCCAAGUUAAUCCCUGUGCUGCCAAGAGAAGUGUCCAUGGGGUAGGAACCGCAUGCUGUUUUACCUGUGCUUAAAGAGGAAAGUGUCACGCGUCUCUGAAGAAACAAUGUUGACUGAAAAAUAGCGCCAAGUCUCAAACAAGAUCUUUGUGAAAAAUAAAGCAUGAAGCACAAAAUGAGAGAGUAAGUCUUAUUAUCUAAGAAUUAAAAUGAUGAUUAAGGUGAUUAUCUUUUUCUUCUUUAUUUUUAAAUAGUUUGCAAAAUUAUAACAAUAGGUAUGCAUUAUUUUAUAAUUAUUGACAACAUGGUGUUUUGUAAAACAAAGUGUAUUAUAUGAAGAAUAUUCUCAAUUUUAUUUGGAGCUAUAAAAAACUAUAAGACUAUGCAGAAGCACAAUAAAAUGCUAACAGUGAGUAUCUCUGAAUAGUGGGAUUAUUGCUAAAUUUUAUCCCACUCUCCUUUGCUUUUUAUUAUUGUCUAAAUUUCGUGCAGUGAGUAUAUGCUACCUUUGUAAUUUAAAAAUAAAGUUGGUUAAUUUUCU
rnacentral:lncRNA from 1 species